AAAAUGGCAGAAUGAAAGAAUUAGAGGGGAACUGGAAAGUUGGAAAGACGUGAACCAACACUCAGAAUGAGAAAAGAAGGACAUAUAAGGAAAAAGACUAAUACUCAUGGAAAAAGAGACUAAUGGAUUAACAUCUCCAUUGUAUGAUACUUUCUU
rnacentral:lncRNA from 1 species